rnacentral:lncRNA from 1 species
CUACAGGCAGUGCCAUGUCAGGGAUGUGGUUGGGGACACGGCAGGGCCACGGUUGGGGACACGGCAGGGCCACGGUUGGGAACAGGGCAGGGCCACGUCGGUGCUGUGUCAGUGCCAUGUCAGGGACAUGGUUGGGGACACGGCAGGGCCACGUCAGUGCUGUGUCAGUGCCACAGGCAGUGCCGUGUUGGGGACACGGUUGGGGACACGGCAGUGCCAUGGUUGGGGACACGGCAGGGCCACGUCGGUGCUGUGUCAGUGCCAUGUCAGGGACAUGGUUGGGGACACGGCAGUGCCACGGUUGGGGACACGGCAGGGCCACAUCAGUGCUGUGUCAGUGCCAUGGGCAGUGCCAUGGUUGGGGACAUGGUUGGGGACACGGUCAGGGACAUGGCAGUGCCAUGUCGGUGCCACAGUCAGGGAUGUGACAGUGUCAUAUCAGUGCCAUGGUUGGGGACACAGCAGUGCUGUGUCAGUGCCAUGGUCAGUGCCAUGUCGGUGCCACGGUUGGGGACACAGUUGGGGACACAGCAGUGCCAUGUCAGUGCCAUGGUCAGUGCCAUGUUGGUGCCACGGUUGGGGACACGGCAGUGCCAUGUCAGUGCCAUGGUCAGUGCUGUGUCGGUGCCGCGGUUGGGGACAUGGCAGAGCCCUGUCGGUGCCACAGCUGGUGCCACGUGGGUGCCACCGCAGGCUAUGCGGGUGCCACCACAGCCCCCCGCGGGUGCCGUGCCAGCGCCACGGCAGUGCCACCCAGCCCAGCCGUGGGGACCGCGGGGGCCCGUGGUGCGCGGGGACACCCACCGCCACGGCCCUGGUGGCUUCUCUGACGGCUGCUACGUGGCUGCGCUCGCCGGCGGCGAGGAAGCGCGACCGCUCGCCGUCUCGCCGGCACCGCGGGGCCUUCGGCCUCGGCCCGGCACCGCCACGACGCCCGGAGCCGGCAGGGUGGGCAGGAGCGGGCAGGAGCAGGCGCUGCUGCCGCCGUGGCCCCG